UGUAGCUUUCACUUCCCCAGAUCAACCAGCGAUCAGAAGUAAUUUCGUGAAUUCCAAGCAAUUCUUCUUGGUCACUACAGAAAAGGUCAAUUGGUUCAAAGCCGCACAUACUUGUAAAUUCAAUGGCAUGGAAUUGGCCAGCAUUGAUUCGAUGGAAGAAAACAAUAUUAUCUCAAUGCUCAUAAAUAUGUCCGGUUGUGGGGACGAAGCGCAGAAUUUGUGGACUUCGGGUAAUGACCUUGGCGCUUCUAGAGAA